UUGGGAAACGAUUAAGUGACGUCACGUGUUUGGGAGAAAAACGAAAAAAAAAAAAUUGAGGAGGUGAUGAACAUGAUGAUGAGGAGGAUGAGGAUGAGCUGGAUGAUCGGGACUGUCGUUUUACUUUCUUGACAGCUGUCAUUAGACGAUAAAUAAAGUUUUGGUCUCGGUAAUUGCAGCGAGUGAAGAGAUUAUUGAUAAUCAGUUUAAUCCCAAACGUUUAAUUUUUCAGGAAAAAUGAAGAAGUCGAUACGGAUUUAGCGAGAGGUCGAGGGUGUUCGAUAUUGGAGACACAUCGAACGGGAUCAUGAAGUCUAGGGGUUUUAGUGCAUCGUCAACAGGAGAAAAUAAUUUUUUUUAGUGAAUUGUGACGGAGAUAAUCGAUAAUUAGUGAAUAUUCAAGAUAAUCGAUAAUUUUUAUGACUCGAUGAAACGGUUUCCUCUAUUUUCUUUUAAUUAACGUAAUUAAAAGGAAAUUGUUUUAAGGUGACGAGGAAAAUUGUCAGUUUGUUUUUUUUGUUAAUUAAUUCAGACGAAAGAGAAAUGUUUUUGUGAAAAAUUGACUUCAGAGAAGUUUUUAUUUGUAAAAAUUAUAUUUCUUCAAUUGAUUCGUCUCCAGGAGCUUCAUUAGGCUUCACUAAUGACAAUCCUAUUGCUCGUGAGGAUGACUAUGUUGGACAGGACCUUCAAGGACACCCGCCAGUGAUUUUUCGGAUGGGGUUAACCGAAGCCUCCGGAUCUGGGACUUCAAGAAAAUUCUGUAUCGAACAUCUGCGAACACAGUUCCAACAUUUAAACGUUGCAGAGAAAAUAAGGAACAGGGAAUUUAUUUAUUUAAUUACCGCACGAAAACAAAUAAACAAAUUCUCGAAAUUUCCACUGAAAAAUUCAUUUAAAUUUCUUCUCAGAAUUAAUUUAAUUAACAAAAUUAUAUUUAUCGACAUCAUUUGCGUCGUCAUCUUCAUGUCGACUGUGACAGUCUCCCGAUUGCAAAUUACCGUCAAUAAAUCAAUAUCAGGAGCAAUAAACAAUCACCGAACCCUAAAAUAAGUAAAAAUCUUCGAUCUUCGGUUCCAUUUCCCGGACGAGAUAACGAGAUAACGAUGAGCUCAUCGCAUUGACGACGAUAACUGGGAAAUUACGAACUGGGAAUUUGUCGCUGUUCAUCCUCACACCUCCAAUCGACACAUUUGCAACACUUGUGGACGAAGUUAUAAACAUAAUAAUCAUUUGGAGAUUUGUCCGAGAAUUGGGACUUUUUUGCUGUUCAUCACCAGAACUCAAUGUUGGAGCACGAGGUGAUGAGUCGCCAUCACUGUCUCCAAUGUGGGAGGAGUUACAAGCGAAGAGAUCACUUGAAACGUCACGCCAGGUGAAAUGGGGGCGAGAACCUCUCAAACAAUUAGAAACCAAACUGAUGAACGGAUUAACAACAAGUCCCAGCUAUUAUUAACAAACAAUAAUUUUGUUUCAUCCGAACAAAAUUAUUUCUUCAACUUUUAAUUAUUUUCCAGAUGAGGCUCUCAGACUCGUCUAAAGAGGCGAAUCCUGGGAGAACUGGGAGUUUGUCCCUGUCGUUUGUCCACCUGUUAACAGUGAAUCAAAAAAUCGUUAUCACUGUCUUCAAUGCGGACGGAGCUACAAACGUCGUGAUAACUUGAAUCGUCAUGCCAAGUACGAGUGCGGAAUGCCGAAUAGAUUUCGCUGUCCCCAUUGCCAUCAGGACUAUCGUCAACGGGCCCAGGUCUGGGCCCACAUUAGAAAUCUUCAUAAAAAUUCGGAUCUCUUUUGCGUCGACAAUGAAACCGGGGAAAUGCAAUAUUACACCGGAGGUCACAAGAAUGAGUGACCUUGAAGAAGAUGUUCAGUGUUGGAUGACAACGUGAACAAGUGUAUUCCUGGAUGAGAAGAAUCUACUGUACGCUGACAACGAUAGAAUUGGUGCUUUCAAGUGCCCCAGCUGUGAUAAAGUUUACAAAUGGAGAAAGUCAAUGCUCGCGCAUUUCAGACAUCAGUGCAAAAAACCACCGAGAUUUGAGUGCACACAUUGUGAAGUUAAAAAUUAUCAGAAGGGACAUAUUAUGAGGCAUCUUAUCGUACAUCAUCCAGCGUUACCACAGAUAUAUUAUGAUGCAAAGACAAAGACAAGGGUCAAUCUUCGACCCAUUGGUCAUCCUUUUUAAUUAACAUAUCCACUUGGGAAUCACUAAUGAAAAAUCAGUGUUUUCAAUUUUAAAAUACUCAAUAAAAUAUUAAUUUUGGUAU